GACGAACGCUGGCGGCGUGCCUAAUACAUGCAAGUUGAGCGAUGAAGAUUGGUGCUCGCACCAAUUUGAAGAGCAGCGAACGGGUGAGUAACGCGUGGGGAAUCUGCCUUUGAGCGGGGGACAACAUUUGGAAACGAAUGCUAAUACCGCAUAAUAACUUUAAACAUAAGUUUUAAGUUUGAAAGAUGCAAUUGCAUCACUCAAAGAUGAUCCCGCGUUGUAUUAGCUAGUUGGUGAGGUAAAGGCUCACCAAGGCGAUGAUACAUAGCCGACCUGAGAGGGUGAUCGGCCACAUUGGGACUGAGACACGGCCCAAACUCCUACGGGAGGCAGCAGUAGGGAAUCUUCGGCAAUGGACGAAAGUCUGACCGAGCAACGCCGCGUGAGUGAAGAAGGUUUUCGGAUCGUAAAACUCUGUUGGUAGAGAAGAACGUUGGUGAGAGUGGAAAGCUCAUCAAGUGACGGUAACUACCCAGAAAGGGACGGCUAACUACGUG
rnacentral:rRNA from 1 species